rnacentral:rRNA from 1 species
GAUGAACGCUAGCUACAGGCUUAACACAUGCAAGUCGAGGGGAAACGAUAGAGAAAGCUUGCUUUUUCUAGGCGUCGACCGGCGCACGGGUGAGUAACGCGUAUCCAACCUGCCCACCACUUGGGGAUAACCUUGCGAAAGUAAGACUAAUACCCAAUGAUAUCUCAAGAAGACAUCUGAAUGAGAUUAAAGAUUUAUCGGUGAUGGAUGGGGAUGCGUCUGAUUAGGUUGUUGGUGGGGUAACGGCCCACCAAGGCGACGAUCAGUAGGGGUUCUGGGAGGAAGGUCCCCCACAUUGGAACUGAGACACGGGCCAAACGCCUACGGGAGGCAGCAGUGAGGAAUAUUGGUCAAUGGGCAAGAGCCUGAACCAGCCAAGUAGCGUGCAGGAUGACGGCCCUAUGGGUUGUAAACUGCUUUUAUAAGGGAAUAAAGUGAGUCUCGUGAGGCUUUUUGCAUGUACCUUAUGAAUAAGGACCGGCUAAUUCCGUGCCAGCCGCCGCGGUAA